rnacentral:lncRNA from 1 species
CCAUGUGUGGAGGCAGAAACUACUUCCACUCUUAUCUUCCGUACUGCAUAACUGCCAGGCUCAACAAUCACUGUAUGUCAUAAAAACACAGAGAAAUUGUUCACAAUGAUGGAAUGACAACCCGUCAUAACUAGACAACUUCUGCCUCACACUUAAGGCCCCAAAGGAACAAGAAUAAAAGCAAUACUUAGAUAGAAAGCAUUCCUCCAUUCAUCACUCCUUCUGCUGGUGAUCUUUUUCUACACAAAAAGUUUUCAAACAAAAGGAGGUCAAAGCAUGUAUCUUGCAACGUUCUUUGAACAAGGCUCAGUGCAAAGCUGGGGCCAGUGGCCUUGACCUUCCUUCAUCCUUAUCUAUCAAGGAUUUUUUGUGAGCAUAAAAGGCAGCAACUUUACUUGUAUUUCAUUUCAUAGCUUAAUUAUAUCUACAUGCAAUUAGAAAACAUAUG